UACGGAGGAUGCGAGCGUUAUCCGGAUUUAUUGGGUUUAAAGGGUGCGUAGGCGGAACAUUAAGUCAGCGGUAAAAUCGAGGGGCUCAACCCCUUUAAGCCGUUGAAACUGGUGAUCUUGAGUGGGCGAGAAGUAUGCGGAAUGCGUGGUGUAGCGGUGAAAUGCAUAGAUAUCACGCAGAACUCCGAUUGCGAAGGCAGCUUACUAAGCCAUAACUGACACUGAAGCACGAAAGCGUGGGGAUCAAACAGG
rnacentral:rRNA from 1 species